rnacentral:rRNA from 1 species
UACGUAGGGGGCGAGCGUUGUCCGGAAUCAUUGGGCGUAAAGCGCGUGUAGGCGGCUCGGUAAGUCCGGUGUGAAACCUUGGGGCUCAACCCCAAGCCUGCACUGGAUACUGUCGAGCUCGAGUCCGGGAGAGGUGAGUGGAAUUCCGAGUGUAGAGGUGAAAUUCGUAGAUAUUCGGAGAAACACCAGUGGCGAAGGCGGCUCACUGGACCGGUAUUGACGCUGAGGUGCGAAAGCGUGGGGAGCAAACAGG